UUCGUAUUGUUGUGAGAGAGGUGAAAUUCUUAGACCACAGCAAGACGAACUACUGCGAAAGCAUUUGCCAAGAAUGUUUUCAUUGAUCAAGAACGAAAGUUAGAGGUUCGAAGGCGAUCAGAUACCGCCCUAGUUCUAACCAUAAACUAUGCCAACUAGCAAUCUGCUUAUAUAUGUUCUAUGAUUAAGUAGGCGGCCACGGGAAACCAAAGUAGGGUUAUGGGGGAAGUAUGGUUGCAAAGCUGAAACUUAAAGGAAUUGACGGAAGGGCACCACCAGGAGUGGAGCCUGCGGCUUAAUUUGACUCAACACGGGAAAACUUACUCGGGCCUGACACUAGAAGGAUUGACAGAUUGAUAGCUCUUUCUUGAUUUGGUGGAUGGUGGUGCAUGGCCCGUUCUUAGUUGGUGGAGUGAUUUGUCUGGUUAAUUCCGAUAACGAACGAGACUCUAGCCUAUUAAAUAACACACAGAAUCUUGUCUUUCUGUGGCGUUUCUUAAUGGGAUCAAGUGUGUUUAACGCUU
rnacentral:rRNA from 1 species